CCCUUUACCAACCGGGACCCUGCUACAUCACGCACGAUCCUGGCUCUGCCUCCCUGGAUCUGUACCCUGCGGGGCUUCGGGGUCAAGCUGCACCGGAGGGAAAGGGGGCUGUGGUGGGUUCCCAUGGGUCCCAGGGCCCAGACUCUAGGGUCUGAAGCUGAAUUAAGCCUUGAAGGGACCUCCUGCCAGCCCUGGCCUCAUCCUGGGUGAGACUCCCCCCAGCCUGGCCCCGGCUGCUGCUCACAGACCCUACCAGCCUGUACACCUGCCCGGGAAGGGGGCUUUCUACCCUGGAGGUCCCGGGAGGGAGGUGGGGGCUGGAGUCCCGGCGGUCCCCACAAGGACUCUUCCCAGAGUGUCGGCAGCCUCGAAGUCCCGAGACGCCACGGGGACCCAGGUUCCUGAGCUACAAGUGCGCAUGCAUGCAAGGAGGUGCGACAAGCCACACCGGUUCCGAGGCAGUGUGCAAGAGCUGGCCACGCACAGGCCCCGGGCCAGCCACGUGGGUCCAGGCCCAGGGAGACCAGGCCACGGCUUGGGAACAUCAGCCUCCGGUGGACAAGCCACAUCCAUGCUUAGCUACAACCAAAGUAACAUCAGGGGCCCGUGCAGCCUCCACAGUGGACCAGGCUCAGCCAAACCAGAAAGGCCCCUCCGAGGUGGGGGUGCAUUUAUGUUGGAGCCUAAAGGAGAGUGGCCAAGAACAUUCCAGAGGGUGAUGCACAGCCCGAGGCAGGAAGGGGCUCUGCACGAGAACAAAGUGAAGCCCCUGUGAGCAAUGGAGACAGAAGGUAGCCGAGAAACAGCGCCCGUUCCACCAGAGCCAGCAAACCACAGCCCGAGGCCACGCGCAGGCUGCCGGUCCGUAGCUACACUGGUUCUUUUUUUAGACAGGGUCUUGCUCUGUUGCCCAGGCUGUAAUGCCAUGACACAUCACAGAUCACCACAGCUUCGACCUCCUGCGCUCAAGUGUGGUGGCACACACCUGUGGUCCCAGCUACUUGGGAGGCUGAGGCGGGAGGAUCACUUGAGGCUGGGAGUUUGAGGCGGCAGUCAGCUGUGAUCAUGCCACUGCACUCCAGCCUGGGUGACACAGGUGACACAGCGAGACUCUGUCUCAAAAAUUUAAAAAAGUAAAAAAAAAAACACCUAGAGUUCAUCACCUUGACCACAUUGAAGUAGGCAGUUCUGGCUGAGCAUGGUGGCUCAGGCCUGUAAUCCCAGCACUGUGGGAGGCCAAGGCGGGUGGAUCACCUCAAGUUGGGAGUUCAAGACCAGCCUGACCAACAUGGAGAAAUCUUCUCUCUACUAAAAAUACAAAAAAUUAGCCAGGUGCACAUGCCUAUAAUCCCAGCUACUCAGGAAGCUGAGGCAGGAGAAUCGCUUGAACCUGGGAGGUGGAGGUUGCAGUGAGCCAAGAUCAUGCCACUGCACUCCAGCCUGGGCGACAGAGUGGGACUCCGUCUCAAAAAAAAAAAAAAAAAAAAAAGCAUACAGUUCAGUGGCGUUUAGCACAUUCCCAUGGCCGCGCAGCCGCCACCAUGACCGUCUCUAGAGCCCUCUGACCCUCCCACUCACUCCCCAUCCCUCUCCCCAGCCCCUGGUGACUUCUCUGGCAGGAAGUUCCUCAAAGGUUAAAAACAGUUGCUGUCAGUGAGGAAAGCUUUGCCCAGUUCUGCUCCUGAUGUUAAGUGACAGCACAGUUAUGGCAAAGUAAGGAAACCCAGUGACCACGUGACCCAGCACUUCCCACAUACGCACCCAGGGAAGGGAGAGACGCAGACCCCCAAUUCACAUCGGCCAAGACAGCAAAAUCCUGUGUGCCCAUCGACAAGUGAGGCACGAACCAGUGCAACCCUCCACACGCCGGAACAUGAUUCAGCCAUGAAAAGGAGCGAGGCUCUGACCCAGGCCACAGCGUGAACACGCCCAGAGGACGUCAUACCCCAUGAGAGAUGCCAGGCACAAAGGGCCACGUGAGGGUCUGGGAGGGCCCUGGAGGAGGCCGACUCACAGAGACCCGCCUUUCUAGGAAACAAGACACCCGAGGCAUGCACUUGCUUGAGUCAGCAGGUGGGGACAGACCUACGAGGGUCUGCGGCCACUCCUGUCAUCCCAGGCACCACCCUGUCCUGAGAUACCGAGGCGGUCAGCCUGAUCCACCUCCACAGCCCCAGGCGGCCUCUGACCAGCUCCUGGCCUGGAGUUGGAGAUAAGGUCUACCACAUGGCUGCUGCUUCGGCAAGAGCCCACAGGCCGUGCUGCCUGGGCCUGCAGUCACAGGACACAAGGGGUCCCUGGCUCAGCCGCAUGGAGCCAGUCAGGCUCUGAGGACAGGAGCAUGCAGCCCGAAGUCCCGUGUUAGUGGGUUUUCGCGGCUUAUCUCAUGUCCCCUCUGCAAGGCCUCAUGCCAGCCCCACUGCCUGUGCAGAUGAGGACACGAAGGCAGAGUACGGGGCAGCAAUGCCCACGGCCACACAGAAGGCCCAGGGUCCUCUAUGUGGCUCAGCCCGCUGCACAGGGUAGUCCAGGUGGCCACAGAGCAGCAGAGAACUGGCGGUUCUCCCUCCUUCCAGCCUGCCGCUCCCAGGGCCAGGUCACAUCACCAGCUUCCUUCCACCCCCUUCUCCCCUGCCCAGGGCCGGCCUCUCCCCACCCACAGUCCCCACCAGUUCUCCACAGGGCACAGCCACCUCCCGCAGCCCCACCACAGCUAACCACUCCUGAGGCAGCACUGACCAUCCCAGGACAAGGAGAGGCCUCAGCAUCUGUCCCCAGUACAGACAGCCUCUGGCGAACAAUUUCCCGAGCCUGGAGCCAGAGGGGCCAUAGAGACUCGAGCCCCAGGAGAGCUGUGGGUGUGGGCCGCCCAGGACUGCUUCACAGAUGAAGGGGGAAUCUAUGCAGACCCUGAGCCCCAAGAGAGCUGUGGCCCCCCACCCGGGACCAAUUUGUAGAUGAAGGGACUCUACACAGAUCCACCAGCACUUAUAGAAAGGAAACCUUGCAGCAGAGGCCAAUGGCAAUGGCAGAACUGUAGCAUGGAAAACCCACGCUGGGGGCAGGGGCUCCUGAGGGGGCCCCAUCAGAACCGCAGUGCUGGUCCAGGCCAUGCAGGGUUGCUGUUGCAGAGGACAUCAGCCAUGUCCAUGGCUGGGAAGGACAGCUGGACACAUCUUCACAAGACAACAGCACCCAGACAGUAGCCUGGACCCCUUAGCACAACAAAAACCAGGCAGGACCCAAACACAGCUGCAGUGCCGGGGCGAGGGAGCCGCGCUAAGGCUCCAGGAGUCCCGGAGCCAAGCGGGGAGGAAGUCAUUCAAGUCCAGCAAACACGAGGCCAGAGGGAGGCCAGCUCUCCCUCAGGGUAGAUCUGUCACCUACCCACUGGAGUGAGCUCCCUACCCAAGGGGGCAGUGUGGGAUGAAAUCAAGCUGGGGGAGCAGCAUUCUGGGCAGCGGCAUGUGCUACCUGGAAGCACUUUUUUUGGAGACAGGGUCUCUUGCUCUGUCGCCCAGGCUCGAGUGAGGUAGCUUCAUCACAGCUCCCUGCAGCCUCCCGCUCCUGGGUUCAAGCUAUCCUCCCUCCUCAGCCUCCUGAGUAGCUAGGACCAGAGACACGUACCACCAUGCUGAGCUAAAGGAAGCACGUCUGUAAAAGAGGCCCCCAAUGACCAGCUGCCAAGUAAAAGCAAAAUGGACACCGGCGCCAGCAGACUCCAUUCCCCCGCACAGAACAGUCUCCCCAAGACCUGGCACCCCGCAGAGGGAACCGUGGGCAUGGGAGCACAGGCACAGGCGGAACAGCUCCAGGACUGUGUUCCAUGCCAGCACCACCCUGCUCCAGAUGUGACUGGGGGUGAGGCCCAGCCCUUCCCGGGUCCUAGUGGAGCCUCUCCUGCUUCUGUACCAUCAGCAGCCUUGGCCAGGCCUUCUCCAAGAAUGGAAAAACCUCAUCAUCAAGUCUUACUCAUUACAGAAUUUAGUUUCAAGGCACGGCAGGAGAAUACCAGCUCGAGACCCGCCAACAUGAAGAGAUCCUGUCUCUCCGAAAACACAGAGGCACUGUGGGGACACUGAGGCAGGCAGAUAAUCUGAGCUCAGGAGAUCGAGACCAGCCAACAUGAAGAGAUCUUGUCUCUCCGAAAACACAGAGGCACUGUGGGGACACUGAGGCGGGCAGAUAAUCUGAGCUCAGGAGAUCGAGACCAGCCAACAUGAAGAGAUCUUGUCUCUCCGAAAACACAGAGGCACUGUGGGGACACUGAGGCGGGCAGAUAAUCUGAGCUCAGGAGAUCGAGACCAGCCAACAUGAAGAGAUCUUGUCUCUCCGAAAACACAGAGGCACUGUGGGGACACUGAGGCGGGCAGAUAAUCUGAGCUCAGGAGUUCGAGACCAGCCUGGCCAACAUGGUUAAACCCUGUCUCCACUAAAAAAUAAAAAUUAGCUGGCAUGGUGGCACAUGCUUGUAAUCCCGGCUACUCAGGAGGCUGAGGCAGGUGAAUCACUUGAACCCAGAAGGUGGAGGUUGCAGUGAGCUGAGAUCGCACCACUGCACUCCAGCCUGGGCAAGAGAGAGAGACUCCGUCUCAAAAACAAAAACAAAAGACAGCUGGGUGCGGCGGUACACAUCUGUAGUCCCAGGACUCAGGAGGCUGAGGUGGAGGCCGCAGUGGGCGGAGAUCACGCCACUGCACUCCAGCCUGGGCAGCAGAGCAAGACACUGUCUUAGGGGCAAAAAAAUAAUAAUAAUAGGGCCGGGCGCGGUGGCUCACGCCUGUAAUCCCAGCACUUUGGGAAGCCGAGGCGGGUGGAUCACGAGGUCAACAGAUCGAGACCAUCUUGGUCAACAUGGUGAAACCCCGUCUCUACUAAAAUUACAAAAAAAUUAGCUGGGCACAGUGGCGCAUGCCUGUAGUCCCAGCUACUCAGGAGGCUGAGGCAGGAGAAUCGCCUGAACCCAGGAGGCGGAGGUUGCUGUGAGCCGAGAUCGCGCCAUUGCACUCCAGCCUGGGCAACGAGAGCGAAACUCCGUCUCAAAAAAAGAAAAAGAAAAAAAAAAAAGACGGGGUUUCACCAUGUUGGUCAGGCUGGUCUUGAACUCCCGACCUCAGGUGAUCCACCCACCUUGGCCUUCAAAGUGUUUGGAUUGCAGGCGUGAGCCACCACGCCCGAAUGGAACUUUUAUCUUUCUUUUUUUUUUUUUUUUUUGAGACAGAGUCUCACUCCGUCACCCAGGGGUAUGGGGUGCUGAGGCAUGGAGUGCAGUAGUGCGACCUCGGAUCACUGCAAUCUCUGCCUCUCAGGUUCAAGUGAUUCCCCUGCCUCAGCCUCCCGCAUAGCUAGGACUACAAGCACAAACCACCAAGCCAAGCUAAUUUUUUGUAUUUAGUAGAGACAGGAUUUCACCAUGUUGGAGCGGAUGGUCUCGCUCUCCUGACCACGUGAUCCACCCAUCUCGGCCUCCCACAGUGCUGGGAUUAUAGGCGUGAGCCACCUCGCCUGGCUGGAAUUUUUAUCUAAAAUUGAUUGAUUGAUUGAUUGAGACGGAGUCUUACUCUUUUUGCCCAGGCUGCAGUCCAGUGGCCUGAUCUCAGCUCACUGCAACCUCCACCUCCUGGGUUCAAGUGAUUCUCCUGCCUCAUCCUCUUGAGUAGUCGGGAUACAGGUCCCCACUACCACGUCCAGCUAACUUUUUAUAUUUUUAGGAGAGACAGGGUUUCAUCAUGUUGGUUAGAGAACUCCUGACCUCAGGUGAUCCACCUGCCUCAGCUUCCCAAAGUGCUAUAUUACAGGCCUGAGCCAGCACUCCUGGCCAGAAUUUUUUUUUUGAGACAGGGUCUCACUCUGUCACCUAGGGCUGAAGGGCGGUGGUCCAAUUAUGGCUCACUGCAGCCUUUGCCUCCUAGGCUCAAGUGAUCCUCCCACCUCAGCCUUGGGAGGAGCUAGGACCACAGGUGCACUUCCCAGACCCAGCCAAUUUUUGUAUAUUUUAUAGAGACGGGGUCCUCCCAUGUUGCCCAGGCUGGUCUUGAACUUCUGGGCUCAAACAAUCUGCCCGCCUCGGCCUCCCACAGUGCUGGGUUACAGGUGUGAGCCACCGUACCCAGCCAGCAUUUUUCCAGAAUGAGAGAAUGUAAACAAGUAGGACCAGCAGCAGUGGCGGUAGCCACGUGCACUGAAGCACGUGCUGGCAGACUCCGCCUGUGAUUAGAUAAAUAUCAUCCCCCACUUCCCCAGAAUACUGAUGCCACCCUGAAGUCAACACUGAGAGCCAGUACACUCGGCACCAGCCCCAGUUGCAGACGGCCCCUGGCACACAUCGCUGCCCAGCAGCACAUGGACACACCUGACAAGCCCUCCUCAUCAAGAGAGACGCUGUGAGCCAACGGCCCAAACGCCAGCAGGCGGCAGCAGCCACAGUCAACUGGCCACACAGCUCACUCACACUGCCCAAGGCUGGUGGGCAAAACCACAGGGCCCAGGCCUGCCCAGCAGCCUGAGACCCGGCUCCUGUCUGUCCCUGCAGUGAGGGCAGGGACGCACACGGCGGGUGUGCAGACUGUCUUUCCACCUCCAAGAUCUGGAGGGACACAAGUCCAUGUCCCAGGAGCCGUAGUGACAUGGCUGCUGAACUCAAUGCGGGAAAAUCAGAAGUCUGCAGGGCAAACACACCACCACCACAGCCGGAAAGAAAAUGACAAACUGGGAGCAGCACGUGCCACCCACAGGAGAGCCCAAAGUAGCAAAGGACACCAACAAACCGUGCUGGGAAAGGACCAGCUUCCCCUUGCAGUCAGGAGCUGCCAGUCCAACCAGGACACUGCCCUCCUGCCUGUCAGACGGGGGAUGCGGCGGACUGGAGGACUCGGCCUCGCCAGCCCAGGCACGGGGAAAGAGAGCCACGUGUGCUCACGGUUGGCAGAAACUGCAACUGUUAAGGCUUCAAAGAAAGGCAAUUUAGCAACUGCUUCCAAAAUUUUAAAAAUGCACAUCCUCUGUGAUGCGGUAUUUCUACUUCUAAGAAUUUAUCCUUAGAAACUCUGGGUGCGUGUGUGCAGAGAUGAAGCACUGCAGCAGCUCGUCAGGGCGGAAGACAAAAGAGGCCCCCAGACGGGGGGUGGACAGGCUGCGAGACCCACUGCACGGAAAACCAGCCCAUGCAGAGCAUGCUGCUCCCAGAGGGUUCGAGAAGCGGCUAGUCACAGUCAGGUUUAGGGAGAGGAAGGAGAGGAUGGGGGCUAGGGAGGAAGGAAGCCUCAUUUUUCCUUACUUCUCCUGGCACCUCAAUUUGUACUUCUUGAAUUCUGUGUCAGAUGAACUGUGAGCUCUUCAAAAAAAAUAAAGCAGAAGGCAGAGAUGGGCCAGGUGGGCUCUGGAUGAGACCGGGCACCACCACAUUCUCACUCCUUGGCUGGACGCUCAGAAGGUUUCAUUGUAAACUGUCAGAGGAAGAGAAAUCGGGAUCUGAAGUUGCUGUUAAGGAAUUCCUGAGCAUGGACACCAUGUGUGGCCGUGUGGAAAGGCUUCAAGUGGAUCAAGGGGGUUCAGCACCAACUUGGAGCCUCACCACGAAUUAGGAGUGAAUCAGUGAAUGACUCGUGCUCUGCUGGGCCCUGCAGAGGUUCUCGUCCAUGGCCCAGGGUUGCCUGGUGGGGACACUGCUGUGGCUCUGCCUGUGUGACCGACACCUGUAGCCUGGCUUCCCUGGUCUGCAUGGUGACCCGGGCCCUGGACUGCUGGGCUUCCUGCUGCCCCUUCCCCUCGGCAGGGCACUGCCCUGUGGGUCCUGCACACCUACCGGGCCAGCUCAUGAGAAAGGUGCACCUCUCACCCCCAGGCCCCAGAAUGAAGAGCCAGGAGGCCCCUGCUGCCACUGUCCCGGGCUCUUUAACGGACAAAAGGAAUGGAAACAUCCCAAUGCCAGCUCUUUUAGGACUCAGGUGUUGAGGCUGACUAUGGUCUGGACACACCACCUAUGAGAUGAUAUACACCAGGGCGCGCCGCCAACCCUGGCCCUGUGGACACUGGAGCAGGACAGCCCAGGAAUCCAGCAGCGUGGCUGUGUGCACUGGUUCACACUCAGUGCUUUGGAAGGCCAGGCCAGGAGGAUCACAUGAGCCCAGGAGUUCAAGACCAGCCUGGGCACAGUGGCUCACACCUGUAAUUCCAGCACUUUGGGAGGCCGAGAUGGGCAGAUCACAAGGUCAAGAGAUCGAGACCAUCCUAGCCAACAUGGUGAAACCCCAUCUCUAUUAAAAAUACAAAAGUUAGCUGUGCGUGGCAGCACGCGUGUGUAGUCCCAGCUGCUCAGGAGACUGAGGCCGGAGAGUCACUUGAAGCUGGGAGGCGGAGGCUGUAGUGAGCCAGGACUGUGCCACCUCACUCCAAUCUAGCAGAGUGAGGCUAGGUGGGCGGAUCACUUGAGUCUGGAAGGUUGAGGCUGCAGGGAGUCGUGACUGUGCCACGGCACUCCAGCCUGGGCAACAAAGUGAGAGGAAAGACAGACAGA